AGUGAACGCUGGCGGUAGGCCUAACACAUGCAAGUCGAACGGCAGCACAGUAAGAGCUUGCUCUUACGGGUGGCGAGUGGCGGACGGGUGAGGAAUACAUCGGAAUCUACUUUUUCGUGGGGGAUAACGUAGGGAAACUUACGCUAAUACCGCAUACGACCUACGGGUGAAAGCAGGGGACUUUCGACCUUUCGCCAAUGGAUUGACCGGAUGUCGGAUUAGCUAGUUGGCGGGGUAAAGGCCCACCAAGGCGACGAUCCGUAGCUGGUCUGAGAGGAUGAUCAGCCACACUGGAACUGAGACACGGUCCAGACUCCUACGGGAGGCAGCAGUGGGGAGUAUUGGACAAUGGGCGCAAGCCUGAUCCAGCCAUACCGCGUGGGUGAAGAAGGCCUUCGGGUUGUAAAGCCCUUUUGUUGGGAAAGAAAAGCAGCAGGUUAAUACCCCGCUGUUCUGACGGUACCCAAAGAAUAAGCACCGGCUAACUUCGUG
rnacentral:rRNA from 1 species